NNNNNNAGUAAACACCCAACUUUGCUUUAUAGUUCCCUUGGGUUUUAACUCUGUGCUAGAGCAAUAUCUGUUCUUUACCUCUGCAUUGAAAGGAGUAUCCUUUUAAGUGUAUUCAGAAAGUCAGCACAUUA
rnacentral:snoRNA from 1 species